CCUACGGGGGGCAGCAGUGGGGAAUAUUGGACAAUGGGGGAAACCCUGAUCCAGCGACGCCGCGUGGGUGAUGAAGGCCUUCGGGUCGUAAAGCCCUGUCUGGGGGGACGAAUCCCCCGCCGGUGAACAAUCGGCGGGAAUGACGGUACCCCCGAAGGAAGCACCGGCUAACUCUGUGCCAGCAGCCGCGGUAAGACAGAGGGUGCGAGCGUUGUUCGGAAUUACUGGGCGUAAAGGGCGCGUAGGCGGUCUGUUAAGUUCGGUGUGAAAGCCCUCGGCUCAACUGGGAGGGUGCGACGGAAACUGGUCGGCUAGAGUGCGGGAGAGGAGAGUGGAAUUCCUGGUGUAGCGGUGAAAUGCGUAGAUAUCAGGAGGAACACCGGUGGUGCAGACGGCUCUCUGGACCGCAACUGACGCUGAGACUCGAAAGCGUGGGGAGC
rnacentral:rRNA from 1 species